ACUUUCUCUCUCUCAAAUCCAGAUCUCUCUCUCGGUUCAGUUUCAGUUCCACCACCACAAAAUACAAACAAUCACAAACUAGAAACACAACAAACAACAACAAUCACAAACCAAAAACACAGUAAAAGACGAUGGUCAGCAAAUAAACUCAACUCGAGGUUGAAUUUCUCUAUAACCACUUGAAACCCUAACAAGAAGAUCGUGUUCUACUACGAUCCGGUACAUCGCUUUAAUUUUCAAGAAACUCUAAAUAUAAAGACAAACUCAUCGUAUGAUAUCAACAAUUAUGGACCAUAGAUCUCAUGAACACUCCUCUCACCUCUAAGGUACGCCGCUUUAGAUCUAUACGCUCAUCCUUUUAAUCUACAAAUCGUUUUUUUUGUGUGUUAUCUUCUUCACUUUGCUUCGUUUAUGAUUAGAUCUCAGCAUCUAUUUGUUGCUGAUCAGAUCAUUGUUGUUUCGUGUUUAUAUUUUAUUUGGAUAAUUCGAUUGAAAUUAGACUUUUAUCUUUGACUAAUUUGUUCAAUUAAACAUUGAAUCUUGAAUAUCAUUUAUGGAUCUGACUUGUAUGAAAAGAGGAAGAAGACUUCAUCUCGGAGAACGCGCCUUGGAAGAAAUCAUCGAAGACUUCCGGUGGCGAAGAAGAAGAGGACGGUAACAUCUUCAUCUGUGAAGUCUCAAAAAACCGUAGGGUUUCUGUUAGAAACUGGAAUGGAAAAGUGUUUGUUGAUAUCUGUGAGUUUUAUAAGAAAGAUGGGGCAUCAAAUGUUGGGAAAGAAAGAUAGUUUUUCAUUCUGUUACAUUUUUAGGGUUUUUUUGUGUGUUAAUUUGAGAAUUAGGGUUUUGGAAGUCGAAUAUGGUUAUAAAUAGUUUAGAUGAGGUUCAAGUUGUGUUUAUCUAGGGGUAGACUAUUGAGUUCGUUAUUUGGAUUGAAAUAUGCUCGAUGAAGGCACUUUGUUCGCGAAUUUAGUUUUUUUUUCAGGAGCCACUAAGAAGUGUGAUUAUAGACUCUAGCGUAUGAGUUAUAGACAUAGGAAGGGAGAGUUUCAAUAGAGAAGUAUGUUAUUUCAUACAUGGUUUUCAUCCAUAUAUUUUUAGUGCUAUUAUAUGUUCAUCCAAAUAUUUUUAGUGCUAUUAUAUGUUCAUCCAAUUGGUAUGCAUAUAUGAUUCUAUCCAACUUUUUGAUUGUUUAUAGUUAGUCAUUGAUGUGAAUAUGUUUAUUAUUACGAGGGAAACCAGAAGCUAGAUUGUUAUGCAUUUUGAGUGUUGACUAGGUAUUACUAAUUGAAGUUUUUUGAAUAGGUAUAUCUACUAUUAAUUAUAUUUUUGUCGGGUAAAUAUAUUGUGUUGCAGCUUAUGAAUGACCUUAAACGAAAGCAGAUUUACGAUGCAAAUGAAGAUAAAACUCUUCCAGUGUGUUGGAAAGGAUCAAAACCUUUCAAGUCCGUUCAUGACGUCAAAAACUUAUUCAACCUAAUAACAUUGAGCUUUACAAAAUCAAAGAAUAAUUUUGCUUAUAUUUACUAUUUUUUAAUCUUUAGAAGGAAUGAUUACGAGGAAAACAGUGUAAUGAGUCAAGUUCACAGACCAUUCACAGGGGGUAUGGCUGCUAAAGUUGUCAACAAGAAAAAGAGUUUGCAUAAGGUGGUUUUGAAACUGAAGCAAUCAACGAAAAGUAUUGAGAUCUUUGAAGAUGAGGAGGAGGAUCAAUCCAUUCCCAUGGUACUUAUCUUUCUUUCAAGAUUAUGUGCAGAAUUCAUAGUUAAUUAAUAUUAUAUUAUUUGAUGAUGUAAUAAUGGUCAAAGGAAAGAAGUUGACUUGAGUGACCGUGAUUACAGAUGCAGUAAUAGUGGCAAGAUACCUAAAGGCAACACUUGUGAUUCCAGGCAGGGGAAGCGAACCUGGUGAUUAGAGGCUAUUACAGGAGUGCAAAAGGGGAAGAUAGGAAGUUGGUUGUCUGCGGAUAAGAAAGCUCCAAGUCAUUCUGAUUCCAAAGAGAAGAAAGACAAGGUAUGAAAAAGAGAAUUUCACUGGAAGUGUCUUCAGGUAAAAUGGAUGAUUUUGAUGGGGACGUAUGCCCUAUCAACUGCUCACUAUGUUAAACAUGAUGGUUUGAUGAUUUAGGUGGUGGUCAACUGGACGACUUGGGUAGUCAAAAAAUGAAGGACAUCUGCGGUAAAGGUAAGUUAUUCUUAUGUUUGUAUGUGUGUACUAUUUAUGCUCUUAUUGUUGUGCACAACUACACAUAUGUUAUGAACCAUCCGGUUCUUCAUUAGAGACUUAAUGUAUUAUUUUUUUUCUACUAAUAUCCACUUCUUUGCACAGGUUGAUUCUUUGUCUUAUGCCUGUAGUUUAUUUUUUUGUUUAGCGGCUAUAGCCUUUGUAAAUUAGUCAUCUAUAUCUGUACUUACUACAAUAUAUUGCAUUAAACCAUUUCAUUUACGACUUGCUA